CAAACAUUCUUAUCUAAUUUUUAAUAACAAAAAUUACAUAUAUUUGGUUUACCAAUCAAAUGACAAAUUAAUAUCACCUAAAUCCUAAAAUCUAGGAGAUAUAUUAUCCCAUAAUUCAUUUCAAACGACACUUUUCAUUACUCAAAUAAAAAAUAUCAUUAAAAUUCUAAAAAUACAACUAGCAUCCUAUUAAACAUAACGUACCAAUUAUGGACAUGAUAUAUGAAUGCAUAUAUGUAUUAAACAUAACGUACCGAUAGCUUGGUACAUAAUUGGUACAUUACAUAAUCUUAGUUUUGGUACGUAUUAAUAUUUUGGUACAUUACAGAUUACUAAUUUUGAUA
rnacentral:lncRNA from 1 species